CGCGGCGCGGGGCGGUGCGGGUCGCACAGGAGUGCACCCGGGCGGGUGCGGCGCGCCCCGGCUCACGCUGCGAGCGGAGUUGGGACGCGUGCGUGUGUGCACCCUUCACGCGGCGGGGAACUGAUUCAAAGUCAUACACUCCCAGGCAUUAGCGGUGUGGCUGCCGGCCAGAGGUGGGGUACGCGAACCCCUCCGGUGGCGCGGCGGUCCGAGCUGAGCUCCCGCUGGCUCCUGGCCUCUCCCAAACCAGCCACUGGGUGUUGCGGCGCCUCUCCCAGAGUUCCGGACCCCCGGCUCCGGAAGGUUAGGACUGGGUCGUCUCCCGGCUGGAGUCUCCCUGCUCCAGUACCUUAGGUGGAAUCCACCGCUGUAGGGAUGGGGCACCGCUGUCAAACUUGAGCGCCAGGGGCCUGCGCGCUUUCCUCCCGACCAGCACCCCCAGCCCCUUGGUGCACACCCUCUGCGUCGGAAAGAAGUCCCUGGGGGGCUUACUAAUGACACAGACAGGCCAGGGUGGAGCGAAGUCAGAAGGAGAGGCAGCAGGGCUGGGCAAACAGACCUGGGAGGGCCAGGAGGUCUUGGGGAGGCCGAGGCUGCUGGAGACAUCUCAGCCACCAAGGCUCCUAGUAGGGAGGGGUUCUGGGGGGUGGAGAUGACAAAUUCUUGUCUUGGUGGCUCUGCUCUGGGAGAUGUGAGUACCGUUGGACCAGAGUAGGGACUGUGCCUCUGGCAACCACAGGUAGUCCUGGGACAGCCAGGUCCCACCUCUGACUCCCAGUGGAAGCCUGAUGCCAGACACGGCUGCAGUGUCUGAAACUGGCACACUGCAGGUGUGUCCCGUUCUCCCUAAGGCUUCCUGGGGACCCUGCCUUUCUUGAGACUUUGUGUCCCACUGCUCAAAUAUCGCAAGAGGUUGGCUGUCCUUUUCAGCUUUGCUUUAUGUGUUUAUUUUAAAAUUCAUAUUUCAGGAUACAGAACCCAGGGACAGCCCCAGCUCUGGCCCUCCUUGGGGUGCAGGGUUCAGGUGCGUUACUGGAAACCUGGGCGGGCGGCCUCUUGACACUGCCUCCAUCUUGGUUGAGGGAAGGAAGAUCUAGCCUUCUUUUGGGGUCUUGGAAGGGGAUGGACGGGAGCGGGCGGGCUCAGUUCCUUGCAUCACUCUCACACCCAUGUCCUCACUUUGGGCCCCCUUGCCGUUGCCUGGGCACCCUGCCCUGCCUGGCCUACACUGAGCACACUGCACGGGGCCAUCUCACUAAACUCCUCUGGUAGUUUCCCAAAGCCUUCCAAAUGGCUGCCCAAGAAAUUCUACCAAGGUGUGGAAGUAGAAGAAAUCUUAUCUCUGUUUAUUCCUAUCUCAUCCUUUACAAGUUUUACAUAUGUCUAUGGUACAGGACUGUAUUUGCACAGUAGCGUAGUAUAUCUUUAUAAGUCGAUGCAUUGAUCUAGUUCGUGAGUGCACACUGAAAUUCUGCCUUUUACUGAAGAGGGCAUGUAAUCAGAAACGUUUGGAGAGGGCUGUCCAGAGGGUCGAGCUGAACCACUUAGCCAGCCCCUCACUCCCUGGCCUCCCUUGUCUCCCUGGCUUCACUAGUCCUCCCCUCCUGCUGCCUCCCCUGUGACAUCAUUGCCCUGCUGCCACCCAGCUUCCAGCUGCUGGAACAUGCCCUGCGCUCUCCCAGGCAGGGUUUUCUGCCUGAGGGCCCACCCUUCCUCAAGGACCUGCACAUGCAGAUGCCUCCAGCCCCUUUGAGGCUUCCCCUGAUGCUUGCAAGUCCCAAAGGGUCCUGUAGGUGCCUUUAAAGGCCUAACUCACUCUCCUGUGGUCAUCGUUUAACUUGUCAGUGUGUUUGUGUGGACUAUACACCCCUCGAGGCCAGGCCCGUGUCUUAGUCAUGUCUACAACCAGAACAGACAAGUCGAUGUACCUGCCCUCGGAAACAUGCUGGCCCAGCUCAGCUAAUCGGUCAUCUUCACAAGGUCAGGUCUGCCGACCCCACUAAUCAGCUUGAGCCUCCUAAUCCAGCACCAGCAGGAACCUCGGGACACAGCAGUGGCUUGGAGAGCUGGCAGGGCCACCUUGGCCUUCCUCACAGACUGACUCCCCCUGGGAGGGGAUGGGGCAGCCGAGCCAUGUGCACCACCCUCUUCCUGCUCAGCACCUUGGCUAUGCUCUGGCGCCAACGAUUCGCCAACCGAGUCCAACCAGAGCCCAGUGGAGUAGAUGGGGCAGUUUUGGGCAGCACCUUGGAGACAGACUCCCAGCCCCCAGGCAGGGAGAAAGAGCCUCUGAAGUAAGGCCUCGCCUCUUCAGGAACUGGGGCCAGCUGGCCGAGGCAGCUCAAGUCCUGGUUUGCCCCCUCCCCCAGGGGAUUGCUGUGGUGGAGGCAGCAGCAGCGGGAGGGAGGAUGAGGAAAAGCAGCAACUGAGAAGGUGGGCCGGUGCUGAGGACCUAAAGGACUAAUGACCAUCUUCAGGAAAAGAAGUGUCUAGUGAAAUGACAAGGAUGGGCCUCUGGAAUCCUCCCAGAUUCUCCCACUCCGAAGAGAAUAAAACGGACUGUGUCUGGAGGUGCUAGCGAAGACUCACCACUCAACAAACUUUUUGGGGUGCCUGUGUGCCAGCCACUGUGGAGACAAAGUGAAUGAAGACUUCCUGCUAUAAGCAACCAGAAACUGGGGAAAAUACAAGAAACAGAUCCUCGACAAUAGGCAGCACACAGGACGGUAACCCAAGACUGCCUCAGCGUCUGCCUCAGCCAGUUCCUGCCUGGCGGGGGAGGGGAAACAGAGCAGACGGCAGUGGUCUCGCCCAGGGGAGGGGACA